GCACAUCCAACUGUUAAUUUCAUCAACGCAUUGGAAGAGGGAGUCAAUGGGGCUGUAGUCAUUUGGUGAUAAGGCUAGGUAAACCUGGGUAUCAUCUGCAUAGCUGUGACAGUAUGACCUGAACCACUUGAGGACCAUCCCAGAAAGCCCGACCCAGUUUUCCAGUCUCUCUAAAAGGGCUUAACAACUGCAGUUUUCAGGGAGUUUGGAAAGUCCCAGAAAGAAGUGAGGCAUUCACCACUUCUAAGAGGUCUGCUUCUAAACACUUAAACCCACUUUUGAAAAAAAGAUGUGGUAAGUGCGGGGCAGAGAGCCGUGGGAGCAGAGCGAGGCCGGUGGAGUGAAAGAUAAUGAGGAACA
ensembl:lncRNA